UCAAAAAUAUCUGUCUGAGAAAAUUCAAUAAAACUCCCCAGUCAAUAUGAGCUGUGGAAAAAUAGAUCUAGGAGUUAUAUACAGCUUUUUUUUUUUUUUUUUACUGCGGAUGCCAUUAAAACACGAUUUCACAAGAUUUCUGUAUCCUGUAUCCUGAUGCAGCGAGGAAACUGUUUGAAAACUGGACCACGAUAAGUGAAAGAAUUCUUCCAUAUGCCCAGCAAGAGGGUAAACUGCCCUCAGUACUGGGUGACAUGACACCAGUCUUCAAUAGGAUCCUUGCUGUUACGUCUCCUCUACUUCUCUGUCUACCACCACUGUUGCAGUUUCAAACUUAUAUCAUUCAUAGCCUAUAUUUAGCACAAAAAUUCUAAAUAGUCCCCAUAAAUUUAGAAACUUGAUGUGGGUAUUCUUAGUCAGUCAGUCAUUUUACAAUGAUAAAAUUAAAUUAAAAAAGCUUAA
ensembl:lncRNA